rnacentral:rRNA from 1 species
UACGUAGGGGGCAAGCGUUAUCCGGAUUUACUGGGUGUAAAGGGAGCGUAGACGGCGGUGCAAGCCAGAUGUGAAAGCCCGGGGCUCAACCCCGGCCCGCCGUUGAAACUGGCAGUCUCGAGUUGGAGAGAAGUAUGCGGAAUGCGCGGUGUAGCGGUGAAAUGCAUAGAUAUCGCGCAGAACUCCGAUUGCGAAGGCAGCUCACUGGACUGCAACUGACACUGAGGCUCGAAAGUGUGGGUAUCAAACAGG